rnacentral:tRNA from 1 species
GGGUGUGGCCAAGUGGUUAAGGCAACGGACUUUGACUCCGUCACCGUGGGUUCAAAUCCCGCCAUCCC